rnacentral:rRNA from 1 species
AAGCAUAUCAAUAAGCGGAGGAAAAGAAACCAACAGGGAUUGCCCCAGUAACGGCGAGUGAAGCGGCAACAGCUCAAAUUUGAAAUCUGGCUCUCGGGCCCGAGUUGUAAUUUGUAGAGGAUGCUUUUGGUGAGGUGCCUUCCGAGUUCCCUGGAACGGGACGCCAUAGAGGGUGAGAGCCCCGUCUGGUUGGACGCCGAACCUCUGUAAAGCUCCUUCGACGAGUCGAGUAGUUUGGGAAUGCUGCUCUAAAUGGGAGGUAUAUGUCUUCUAAAGCUAAAUACCGGCCAGAGACCGAUAGCGCACAAGUAGAGUGAUCGAAAGAUGAAAAGAACUUUGAAAAGAGAGUUAAACAGUACGUGAAAUUGUUGAAAGGGAAGCGCUUGUGACCAGACUUGGGCUUGGUUGAUCAUCCGGGGUUCUCCCCGGUGCACUCUUCCGGCCCAGGCCAGCAUCAGUUCGCCCUGGGGGACAAAGGCAUCGGGAACGUGGCUCUCUCCGGGGAGUGUUAUAGCCCGUUGCGUAAUACCCUGCGGCGGACUGAGGUUCGCGCAUUCGCAAGGAUGCUGGCGUAAUGGUCAUCAGUGACCCGUCU